rnacentral:rRNA from 2 species
UACGGAGGGUGCAAGCGUUAAUCGGAAUUACUGGGCGUAAAGAGUGCGUAGGUGGUUAAUUAAGUUAUCUGUGAAAUCCCUGGGCUCAACCUGGGCAGGUCAGAUAAUACUGGUUAACUCGAGUAUGGGAGAGGGUAGUGGAAUUUCCGGUGUAGCGGUGAAAUGCGUAGAGAUCGGAAGGAACACCAGUGGCGAAGGCGGCUACCUGGCCCAAUACUGACACUGAGGCACGAAAGCGUGGGGAGCAAACAGG